AGACUGCGAAGUGGAGCAAAUCCCUAAAAGCCAUCUCAGUUCGGAUUGCAGGCUGCAACUCGCCUGCAUGAAGCUGGAAUUGCUAGUAAUCGCGGAUCAGCAAGCCGCGGUGAAUACGUUCCCGGGCCUUGUACACACCGCCCGUCACACCAUGGGAGCCGGUAAUACCCGAAGUCAGUAGUCCAACCUCGUGAGGACGCUGCCGAAGGUAGGAUUGGCGACUGGGGUGAAGUCGUAACAAGGUAUC
rnacentral:rRNA from 1 species